AAUCAGCAUUUCAUUGCUUGCGUCAUGCGGAAAGCGAAGCUGGAAUGAGAGGGAAGUUUCAGAUAUUUGUGGUUGUAUUAAAUAGCAACAGUGAAGAGGAUAGAGGAAGUGACCAAGCAAAUUGCAUUUGGUAUAAAGUUCUUUCAGUUUUGCUCCAUUAUGGAAACUCACUAGCUACAGAGUUUUCUCUUGGGGUGUGGUGUGGGGCUGUUUUACCUCUAGAUAACUUCAUGAAUCCAAGCCAGCCCUGCAAAGUCACUACAGCUUCGGAGAGCUCAUGCAUCAAAGGGAGAUGUCCAUUCAUUCCAACUGCAGGCCCUGAAAUCUGCCCCCUUCUAGGCCUGUGCAGCGACAUGGAAGAGGAGCAUAGAAACACACAAAGACAAGAUGAGCAGUUUGGCCACCAGCAUCAUACAUGGAAAAACUGAAAAGUUACCGAAAGCAAUGGCAAAAGUUUCCCCAAUUUUUUCACCUGCUCUAGAAGAUAAAUGACCUGUAUUCAUUUCGCUGCUUGUGUCUAUUUUGUAAAAGAUGUGGAUGGCAGAUGCAUCUAACUGAGGCGCUCAAGCAAACAGCCUCCAGCUUCAAACAAGCAGGAUCUGAUGGCAGGGCAUCUGCAGUGAAAAGAUCCUUUAUUACAGACCUCACACUCCACCUUGGCCCUGGAGAGCCCAGAUCUGCUGUUAAUUCUUGCCGCAAGGCUUUUGUUCUCAGGCUUUCUGGAUGGAGGAUGAGUAGGCUCAGAUCAGAUAUUAGUGGUGGGUCAUUCUGUGGAUAUUUAAUGUGUGCACGUGUGUGUAUAUGAUUUAUUUUUUUUUAAAGAAUCAAACCUAGGGAAGCCAAUUAAAUGUUUCCACUUUGCCUGAUCACAUUAUGCCUAG